rnacentral:rRNA from 1 species
GAGUAACGCGUGGGCAACCUGCCCCAAAGCUGGGGAUAACCUUCCGAAAGGAAGGCUAAUACCGAAUACGGUCUUUCAACGCCUGUUGAGAUGACUAAAGACGGGGAUCCUUCGGGACCUGUCACUUUGGGAGGGGCCCGCGUGCCAUCAGCUUGUUGGUAGGGUAACGGCCUACCAAGGCUUACGGCUAGCUGGUCUGAGAGGAUGAUCAGCCACACUGGGACUGAGACACUGCCCAG